CGGGUGAGUAACGCGUGGAUAACCUGCCGUAUACUGGGGGAUAACACUUAGAAAUAGGUGCUAAUACCGCAUAAGCGCACAGUCUCGCAUGAGACGGUGUGAAAAACUCCGGUGGUAUACGAUGGAUCCGCGUCUGAUUAGCUUGUUGGCGGGGUAACAGCCCACCAAGGCGACGAUCAGUAGCCGGCCUGAGAGGGUGAACGGCCACAUUGGGACUGAGACACGGCCCAAACUCCUACGGAAGGCAGCAG
rnacentral:rRNA from 1 species